rnacentral:rRNA from 1 species
UACGGAGGGUGCAAGCGUUAUCCGGAUUCACUGGGUUUAAAGGGUGUGUAGGCGGGGAUUUAAGUCAGUGGUGAAAUCUCCGAGCUCAACUCGGAAACUGCCAUUGAUACUAUUUAUCUUGAAUAUUGUUGAGGUAGGCGGAAUAUGUCAUGUAGCGGUGAAAUGCUUAGAUAUGACAUAGAACACCGAUUGCGAAGGCAGCUUGCUAAACAAUUAUUGACGCUGAGGCACGAAAGCGUGGGGAUCAAACAGG